AGCGAAUUUUGAUGCAAGACGAUGUCUGUUCACUAAAUGAUCUGUUUGAAUAAUGUAUUGGGAAUAGAGUCGUAAUUAAAAUGCUAAAUCAAAGACGAGACAGUAACUUAAAUCAAAUUAAUUCUGAAUAAUAACGGGGAAACAAUUACGAUAGAUUUGUGCCCAUCGAAAUGUUCUUAUAAAUUUAGCGAAUUGGGAGAUGAGAGAUGUUGAUUGAUGUUGUAAACUCUAAUUCAGGAUUCAACAGAUGUGAUAAAUUAGGUUUGGUUUAUCGAACCCGUACUACUGUUGCUGCAGACAGCCAACAAUUAUUUACAAUUCUUUGAAAGUCGUUGCGGAUCGGGUCGAGGUUGAGCGCUUGUUGAUGACAUCACUCGCAAGGCACUUUUGUCGCCACGGAAAUUAUGUCGUGACUAGGGGUAACGGAGAAAAUUGUUUGUGUCUUUUAGAAGGAAAACGCGUGCAUUAUUGUUUUGAGUCUCUUUUCAGAAGUUGAUAAAAAUGUCAAAAUACAUUUUUAAAAGUAGUUUGUAAGUCAUCAGGAAAGAUGCUAAAAACUAGCAGCUGAUUCGCUAGGUGGGCAUCAUUGAUUUGUGGCGUUGAUUUGGACUGUAUUAGGCUAUGAGAAAGGGAGACUGAAUGUCUGAAUUGUAAAACAUCAUGGUAAUGGAUUCUGAUAGUUAUUGAUUCCUGGUUUGAUUGUUUAUGUAACACCAGUGAAUUUGAGCACUGUUUCCAUUAUGUGGAACCAGGUUAGGGUAUUAAUGUUGAAAAGCAACCUCUAUAGUAAAAAACAAUUGCAUAUGUUUUGGGAAACUAGCUAGGUUGAAUUUGGUUAUUUGAGCUUUUCCUCUCUGAUACGUAGACAUCUGUAACAGGGGCAAGAUGUUUUUUCUUGAGGAACAUGCAGAUGAUGUUUUGUUUUAUCGAGACGUAAAUGUGAAUUACAGGUGAAGUCACUCAAUCCAGUCCCUGAGGCCUGUUGGAGGGACCAUACCAAGGAAUCCUGGUGACAGCUAGCUGAAAGAACUACCCGGAUUCAUAUCACACUGCGGGAGGGACACCUUGACACUGUCGAACAAUAACAGAGUUCGAGAGGAGAACUGGAAUUAACAGAAUUCUGGGGGCCAUCUCUCGAAUGAAGAAUACCUUACCUGUCCUUUCCUUACUGUUCUUGUUCAUAGAAGUGAAAAUGUGUCUGACUCUUGCUAAUGAUGUGUUUUCUGGAAGAGGGUGGGGCUUUAUAGGUGAGCUGUCCAUCCUAAGCUGUAUGGUUGGGAGACCUUAUUACUACACCAUGAACCCGAGAAGGCCAGAGGGUAAUAUUGACAUAGUUAAACAAGGAGAAAUUAGUAUUAACCAAGCAUAAGAGAUCACUUGAUCUGGAUAAACAGGAAGUGAGAGUAGGAUAGGGAGGGAUGUCUCAGUGGAGUUCUAUGUAGACCAAGUGGUGUCUCUGACUCCUUGGCAGUUCAGGACUAAGAGUAGCUAUUAUGGAAGAAAUCUAUGCUAGUCUCUGUGUAGUUCAUGGAAACAAGUUAUAGCUCACAUCAUGUGAGGAGGCUACAUAAAUCUACAUACCCAGCAUGGAAGGAGAUGGAGUGUAGUGAAAGUAAGGGUUUCAGUUGAUAACCUAGUGCAUUACAGGUAGAAAAAGUUAGAGCAGCUGAUUGCUCUAUAGUCAGUAGAAUACAAGCAGAGUCCCUGACAAAGCAGAUACUGACUGUGGAGUUGUCCAGAGCCAAGCGCCGGUGUGGAUAGUUCAGAAAUGGAAUUAUUCACCUAAGGGAACAGCCUGUAUGGUAAAGCUAUUCAUGGAAGCAGGAAAGCCAGAUAAUAAGUUGUAUGGAUUUGCACUAUUUAUAUCCACAUGUUCCUCUGAAAUCUGAGCUUCCUCCUUUCACAGAGGCAACGGGAGACUGUUUAUUGUUUGAUUCAGUAUAGUACUCCUGGGAAAUAUGUGGGGCAAAAUCAGUACCGCAAUAGGACAGAUAAUGUUACUUCUGAUGCGACCAAUGAGUGAUUUGAAAGGCUGGUUGAGAUCUGGGGAUUUCAGUAAGAUAAGGAGGCCCAGGGCUCACAUCUGUUGGUUGUGUGGGAGAAUGACAUGAUGGCCCGAGUAUUACUGGCUAAUUGAACAGAGGUAUGUGUACUGGUACAUUUGAGAAUGUCUUUCACACUCAUUCAACACCAUGACAUGAUGUUGACUAAACGAGAGAAAAGAAGUACUCCGACUGGUUCUUUUGAUGAUAGGGUUUGUAUUAAUAACAUUGUGGUUCCAAAGGUGGCAGAUGAGAUCAAAGCUAUAAAUUAGAUCCUGGCAGGAUUAGAGUCAAGUAUUUUUUGGUGGUCCACUCUCAAUGAGAAUGUGGAUUGGAUCAAUUAUAUCUGUUAAAAAUCCACAGCGCUUCACCAAUUAUAUCAGAGAGGUAAUGAAUGGUUUGGCAGAAUAGAAUAGUCUUGGAUGUUUGCCGGCUGAAAAGGGUAGGAGGAGUGUAUGGAGGUAAUUUGGACUCCGGGGAUAUACAGUUAGGAUGGAUCAGUGACCAAGGCCUUGUCUGGUUUACACACCCUAGUUCACAAGUUGGCAGUAAACUCAGGGGUGGAUACUUCUCUGACUAAUUGGGUUGACAGUGUGUUUGGAAGAUGGAAAAAUGUUAUGAUUACUGUGUUAUGGGCUACCUUCACCUGUGUGACUGUGUUAGUUUUGUACGGAUGUGGUUGAUUACGUGUAUGAAAGUUAUAAUUUCCAGGACUCUGGAGAAAUCAAUGACACUUCAGAUGGUGAUAUAUGGACCAAUCCUAAGGUCUGACCAGUGGAAUACAAAAUACAUGGCUUGGACGUAAUAGAAGAAUCCGGAUCUUUUCACUUGCGAGGAGACCAUAUUUGGUGUCUGCAUUGACACUCAAUAGCCUCAUCCUUUAAAUAUAUGGAAAUGAAAAUCAAUAGAAGAUUGAGGCUCUUCCACCUAAAACCAAGCCGGGGCACCGAUAUAGAUUCACACAUGUCUCAGCCUGAGUUACUUUAGCAAGAAGAAUAAUAAAGAUACGAAUAUUACUGAACCGGAGCACGUGAGAAAUCACACCACUGUUUCAUGAUCAGAUUCAAAUAAAAAAUAAAAAAAGUUAUCCAAUGUU